CCAUGGGAUGAAGCAAAUGAAGCAAAUGAAGGCAAGAGGUCAAUUUUAUUUCAAAGUCAAAAAUUUCUUCUGUCUCCCCUGCUGCAAGCUCAACCUGCAAACUGAAAACUCUGCCUGUCAUAAUUUGUAGAGCAAAAUGUGUAAUCUGUACAUAAAAUGCUGCAUUGGACAUGAACCUAUGACGUAAGGAGAAGGGAAUUCACCAUUUGUUUAAACACAUGAAGUGUUCAUCACUGGAUGAAUGGGUAAAGAAAAUGUUCAGCCUUAAAAGAGAAGAAAAUCCUGCCAUUUGCACCAACCUGGAUGAACCUGGAGGACAUUGUGCUAAGUGAAAUAAGCCAGACACAGAAAGACAGAUUACUGCGUGAUCUCAUUUUUAUAUGGAAUCUAAAACAUUUCAACUCAUAAAAGCAGAAAGUAGGUAUUUGACAGAGGCUGGAGGAUAGAGAAAUGGGAAGAUGUUGUUCAAAGGAUACACACAUGUGAUUAUGUAGGAUGAAUAAGUUCUCAAGAUCUAAUGUACAGCAUGUGGCCGUAAUUAGUAAUAUAUGUUGUAUUCCUGCAGUUUGCCGAAAGAGUUGAUCCUAAGUUUUCUCACUACAGAAAAUGUAGUAACCGUGUGAGGUGAUGGAUAUAUUAAUUAACUUGAUUGUAGUUAUCGUGUCACAAUGUAUAUGUAUAUUAAACCAUCACUUUGGAUGCCUUAAAUAUAUACAAGUUAUAUUUGUAAAUACCUCAAUAAAGCUGAAAAAAGUGAUAAUUGCGAAAUUUCAACAACUUGAAAUGCCCUCAUCAAAAAACGAUUUAUUUGUAAUCAAAUAGGUGUUAUAUAUUAUACAUUUCAUUGUAUUUUGGUCCUUGAAAGGUAAUUAUCUAUGUAAAAGAAAUUCUUAGCCAAACAAUAUGACAAUAGCUAGAAUGCUUUGCCUGCCCCCAAAUAUUUUUUAACACAUGUGGGUUUUCUAUAUUUUGUUUGACAAGGGAUGGGAGAAGUUUCACCUGUUCUACCAGAAACCAUGAAGUCCUGUUGCUUUAAUGCCUGUUUUUCUCCUGUGCAGAAUAUUUGUUCAAUUUUUUUAUAGUUAAAUAUGAUAUAUGAAAAUCAACCUGAAAAGCAUAAAAUCUAAAUCAUCAGUGAUGAUUAGCCUUACAAAAUGGGUGUC